rnacentral:rRNA from 1 species
UAAUACAUCGGAACGUACCCAGUAGUGGGGGAUAGCUCGGCGAAAGCCGGAUUAAUACCGCAUAUGCUCUACGGAGGAAAGUGGGGGACUCGCAAGGGCCUCACGCUAUGGGAGCGGCCGAUGUCCGAUUAGCUUGUUGGCGGGGUAAUGGCCCACCAAGGCGACGAUCGGUAGCUGGUCUGAGAGGAUGAUCAGCCACACUGGGACUGAGACACGGCCCAG